UUGUCUCUCUCUUUUUCAUGAUUUAUGACUCAGAAGCAAGACAGGGGCAGGAGGUUGGAGGGUAAUGCUUGCGGCUGUGGUUGCUGUUAUUUUUAUUUUGUAUUUUUCUUAAAGAAAAUAAAAGAAAUAUGCUUUUCUGAAAAAUCUUGAAGCCUUGAAGCCACCUGCAGGGCUGUUGUUUUCCAAGGCCUUGCACUUACGUAAUUGACAUCUACAUAGACACACUCCUGGAACAUAUCGGGGGAGGCAGGCAUUCUGCUUGUUCUCAUUUGUUCUCAAAUUACAUGAUAAAAUACAUGUUUUGGACCUUUUAAACCAAAGGGAGUUAUUGAGCCCGCUUACAAAAUCCAUAACAUGUUAGCAGGACUUAUCUAGCUGCCUCCACAGAAUAGCCAAGCAACUCUACACCCGCUUUAGCCCCCACAAAAACAAGCGGAUUGCACUACAAAUAAUUUGCCUAUUUGGAAAAUGAAAGCUUCUCUGUAGUUUGAGGUCCUAUUUUUUCUUUAAGUUGUUACAGUCUUUUCAUGGUCCUUGAGGUCUAGGUUAGGUUUUUGUUUGGGGUAAUUUUUGUAUCCUAUGGAUACUAUUUAAUCUUUAGUAUUGAGUCAGUAUUUCUCACUUAGGCCUUAGGGGAAUACUGCCUGAAGUAUGUAGGGGGCAUGCGGAAUUCAGACGUGGCUUGGAAACUGCACCAUGGGUUCACCCAAGAAACAGACCAGAGGCAACACAUUCUAUCACUAAAACGUGUUCUCAGUUACACUUCCCUUCCAAAGAGGAGAAAAUAUACAAAGAGAAGAUGAAGAGACAACCAAACAGGAUUAUUUGUGCCCAUGAGGGAAACACGAAGGAUUGUCAGUAUUCAUUUGCUAUCAGAACUGCCUUUGAACUUCAGGGAAGCCGCCAUCUUGUUUUAGUUCACUCCUCUAAAGCACAGUGUCUGCAACAUGAAACACUAGUAAGACACAGUUAUCCAGAAAGAGCCCUAGAGAUGGAUAAGGAACCUGUUGGAAUGCUCUGAUAUUAAGAAAAAAAAAAUUAAAUUCAAAACCAAAAACAAGUCACAAGGGAGUUUUAUGCCUAUGUAAUCAGUGCAGACAGCCGUUAAGUAAAUGAAGAGGCAACUAACAAUGUCAGAAAAGAGACCGGGCGGUUCCGGCUGACACUACCCUAAUCUUCCAGGACCCAUUAAAUGGUAGUUUCAACGCAUUACCUACCAUAACAUCCUUGAAUAUCACUGAUUUUAUUUGCAGUAUCAAACAUUCCAUUUCAUGCCCCAUUAACAGUGGGAGCCUGGGCUUUUUGACGCAGCUAAACAUUUUACUAACUACCUGGACUAAGUAACCAAUUAACUUUUGGAGACAAUACGGCCAAUUAAGCGCGAAAAGCAGAAAUAUCAGUGUCCGACAAGAUAUUGCCCUGGUUUUCACUGGCUUGGACUCUUCAGAGAGAAAAACAAAUCCAUGUAUAGAGAGAAAAUUUGGAAAACAGGCUUUUCCUAUCCGGAUGAACAGAGAUAAUUUGUGUCGAUGGAUGUUCUGUGAAGGCCUAUUGUGUCGAGCAGCGUAUUAAAACAUAAACAUGGCUCUUCCCCCAAGAAACUUACAUUUCAGUAAGGGAGCCUGGCCAAAAUGGAAAACUGCAAGGUUCAAAUCCUGGAGUGCAGAAGAAGCAUUAGGCAUUGACCCUGUGGCUUCCUAAUAGAUCCGCAAAGUGCUUUGUUCCUGGAAAUCAUCCGAUGAGUAGUUCAGUGCUAUUGUAUAUCUUGUUAGAGCAGCCGAAGUGCCACAAAAUGAACUAAAAUCUCCCUGCAGAGUUGCUGUAUCAUAUGCUGAGAACAUUCGGAACUUUCAACAAAUUCAUGUUACGAUCCUGGGUAGCCAUGGUUAAAUCUGUACAGGGGUUAAAUGAGAAAUAUGAGCCUGCUGUUAAGUGUCUUCUGAGAGUGACAAAGCUCUGGCCAUAAGGGAUGGGAGAGGAGGGAUUUCUUCUCAGCCUUCCAGCCCUUUCCAGCUGUAUCACAGACAGGAGACAUAAUGCAAAGGGGCUCAGACAUUGACUUCCUGGAUCUUUGCGGCCCCAGGCAUUGACCCCCUCUACCUGGCUUUUCCUACGCUGUAAAAUGAGGAUCCUCCUAUAUUAUGGAGUUUAUUGUGACAACUAAAUAGCUGAGAAGAAGGACAUCUCAUUUGUUUUAACUAUGCAGUUUCCUGUCUAUCUAUCUAUCUAUCCCAUCAAUCUAUCAAUCAAUCUAUCAAUCUGUCUAUCCCUAUCUAUCUAUCCAUCUAUCUAUCUAUAUCUGUCUAUAUCUAUCUAACAUUUAUCUAUCAUCUAUUCAUCUAUCAGCUAUCUUCUGUCUAUCAAUAUUUCAAUCAAUCUCUCUAUCCCUAUCAAUUAAUCUAUCUACCUACCUAUCAACUAUCCAUCUAUCUCUAUCAUCUAUCAUCUAUUCAUCUAUCAUUUAUCAUCUGUCAAUCCAUCUUCCUACUAUCUAUCAAAAGCAACACAUUUUCUUCCUGACUUUAAAAAUAUUUAAGUGGGCCGGGAGGAUGGCUCACGCCUGUAAUCCCAGCACUUUGGGAGGCCUAGGCGGGCGGAUCACGAGGUCAGGAGAUGGAGACCAUCCUGGCUAACAUGGUGAAACCCCGUCUCUACUAAAAAUACAAAAAAAAAAAAAAAUUAACCAGGCGUGGUGGAGGGCGCCUGUAGUCCCAGCUACUCGGGAGACUGAGGCAGGAGAAUGGGGAGAACCCGGGAGGCGGAGCUUGCAGUGAGCCGAGAUCAUGCCACUGCACUCCAGCCUGGGCGACAGAGCAAGACUCCAUCUCAAAAGAAACAAAAACAAAAACGUAAGUGAUACUCUGUCCACUCUUUUGAUUGAGGAGGUCUGAUUUUCAGGCUUUGGAUUUUAUUAUGUCUUCAAUAUAAUAAUUGUUCCAUGUAUCUCUCCUAAAUUGCCAUUUGAAAAACUGCUUUUCUGAAGUUUAAAGUGCACAUUUUGAUACAUCUUGACACAUAUAUACACCCAUGAAAUCAUCACCACAAUCAGGAUAGUAGAUCUAUCCAUUACCGCCAAGGUUUACUUGCACUCCUUUGAACUUUCUCCCCACUCCUCACCCCCUGCCUAUCCCCAAUCCUUAAGCAAUCACUGAUUUGCUUUCUGUCACUAUCAGUUAAUUUGAAUUUUUCAGAAAUGUAUAUAAAUAAAAUCAUUCGACGUGUAUGCUCUUUUUCUGUUCACCCGGUACAAUUUGAGAUUUAGCCAUGUUUUUGCAUGUGUCAAUAGUUUAUUUUUUUGUUGCUCAGUACUAAUCCAUUUUAUGGAUACAGAGAAAUGUAUUAAUGCAAUCCCAUAUUAAUAGGCAUUUGGGUUGUUUCCAGGUUUGGGCUGUUACAAAUAAAGCUGCUAUGAACAUUUUUGUGCAAGUCUUUUUAUGAGUAUAUUCCUUUAUUUCUUUUGGGUAAAUACCUAGAAGUGGGAUGGGUGUAUCACAUGGUACGUAAAUAUUUAAAUUUUUAAGAGAAUGCCAAACUGUUUUUCAAAGUAAUUGCACCAUUUUAUAUUCCCACCAGGAAUAUAUGAGAAUUCCAGUUCCUCUACAUACUCACAGACAUAUUGUAUGGUCAGU
rnacentral:lncRNA from 10 species